rnacentral:rRNA from 1 species
AUUGAACGCUGGCGGCAUGCCUUACACAUGCAAGUCGAGCGGCAGCGCGGGGGCAACCCUGGCGGCGAGCGGCGAACGGGUGAGUAAUGCAUCGGAACGUGUCCUCUUGUGGGGGAUAACCAGUCGAAAGACUGGCUAAUACCGCAUGAGAUCGAGAGAUGAAAGCGGGGGAUCGCAAGACCUCGCGCGAGAGGAGCGGCCGAUGCCGGAUUAGCUAGUUGGUGGGGUAACGGCCUACCAAGGCGACGAUCCGUAGCUGGUCUGAGAGGACGACCAGCCACACUGGGACUGAGACACGGCCCAGACUCCUACGGGAGGCAGCAGUGGGGAAUUUUGGACAAUGGGGGCAACCCUGAUCCAGCCAUGCCGCGUGUGUGAAGAAGGCCUUCGGGUUGUAAAGCACUUUCGGACGGAACGAAAUCGCGCGGGUGAACAAUCCGCGUGGAUGACGGUACCGUAAGAAGAAGCACCGGCUAACUACGUGCCAGCCGCCGCCGUAAAAC